AGUGGCGAACGGGUGAGUAAGACGUAGGUGACCUGCCCUCAGGUGGGGGAUAACUGCUCGAAAGAGCAGCUAAUACCCCGGAGGUCAGCCGGGUUAGAGGCGGUUGACUAAAGCUGAGGCGACUGGGGAGGGGCCUGCGGGCUAUCAGCUAGUUGGUGGGGUAAGGGCCUACCAAGGCGAGGACGGCUAGGGGGCGUGAGAGCGUGACCCCCCACAAUGGAACUGAGAGACGGUCCAUACUCCUACGGGAGGCAGCAGUGAGGAAUAUUGCCCAAUGGGGGAAACCCUGAGGCAGCAACGCCGCGUGGACGAAGACGGCCUUCGGGUUGUAAAGUCCUUUUCUGAGGGACGAUUUGGACGGUACCUCAGGAAUAAGUUCCGGCUAACUACGUGCCAGCAGCCGCGGUAAAACGUAGGGGACAAGCGUUAUCCGGAUUUACUGGGCGUAAAGAGCCCGUAGGCGGUCAGCUAAGUUGGACGUGAAAGCUCCCGGCUUAACUGGGAGAGGUCGGACAAAACUGGUUGACUUGAGGCUGAGAGAGGCGAGCGGAAUUCCCGGUGUAGUGGUGGAAUGCGUAGAUAUCGGGAGGAACACCAGUGGCGAAGGCGGCUCGCUGGCUCAGACCUGACGCUGAGGGGCGAAAGCGUGGGGAGCGAACGGGAUUAGAUACCCCGGUAGUCCACGCUGUAAACGAUGGAUACCAGG
rnacentral:rRNA from 1 species